UACGUAGGGUGCAAGCGUUAAUCGGAAUUACUGGGCGUAAAGCGUGCGCAGGCGGUUAUGUAAGACAGUUGUGAAAUCCCCGGGCUCAACCUGGGAACUGCAUCUGUGACUGCAUGGCUAGAGUACGGUAGAGGGGGAUGGAAUUCCGCGUGUAGCAGUGAAAUGCGUAGAUAUGCGGAGGAACACCGAUGGCGAAGGCAAUCCCCUGGACCUGUACUGACGCUCAUGCACGAAAGCGUGGGGAGCAAACAGG
rnacentral:rRNA from 1 species